rnacentral:misc_RNA from 1 species
AACACAAUGUAUUACAGUGUUAUUCAGAAUUUGGUGAAGAGAUAACUCUACAAACCAAAUGUGAAAUACAAACGGAACUCUCCCAACUCAUCCAGCUUUUGAAGUUCUCUUUACAGAUGGUAACACAACUGAAUCAAGAUCCCCUGGAUAAGGAGUCCACAACCCUAAUCCUCCCCUACUCUCUUUCAAACCACCUGUUUUGUCCUUCUUGAAUUCAUCCAAAGAUUUUACCCACUCUACUUUGGAUGAAUGUUCGCGGGUAUGAUUGUGCAAAGUAAAAAUGGAAUUA